ACGAACGCUGGCGGCGUGCUUAACACAUGCAAGUCGCACGGAAAGGCCCUGCUUUUGUGGGGUGCUCGAGUGGCGAACGGGUGAGUAACACGUGAGUAACCUGCCCUUGACUUUGGGAUAACUUCAUGAAACUGGGGCUAAUACCGGAUAGGAGCUCCUGCUGCAUGGUGGGGGUUGGAAAGUUUCGGCGGUUGGGGAUGGACUCGCGGCUUAUCAGCUUGUUGGUGGGGUAGUGGCUUACCAAGGCUUUGACGGGUAGCCGGCCUGAGAGGGUGACCGGCCACAUUGGGACUGAGAUACGGCCCAGACUCCUACGGGAGGCAGCAGUGGGGAAUAUGGCACAAUGGGCGGAAGCCUGAUGCAGCAACGCCGCGUGCGGGAGGACGGCCUUCGGGUUGUAAACCGCUUUCGCCUGUGACGAAGCGUGAGUGACGGUAAUGGGUAAAGAAGCACCGGCUAACUACGU
rnacentral:rRNA from 1 species